rnacentral:rRNA from 1 species
GGGUCAGUAGGUUGGUCGUGCCACCGGUACGUACUGGUCUCACUGAUUCCUCCUUCCUGAAGAACCGUAAUGCCAUUAAUUUGGUGUUGCGGGGAAACAGGACUGUUACUUUGAAAAAAUUAGAGUGUUUAAAGCAGGCUAACGCUUGAAUACAUUAGCAUGGAAUAAUGAAAUAGGACGAUCGAUCCUAUUUAGUUGGUUUCUAGGAUUGACGUA